CCAUCAGGUAAUGCUGGGGACGUCUAAAGGAACUGCCUACGCAAGUAGUGAGGAAGGCGGGGAGUGACGUCAAAUCAGCACGGCCCUUACGUCCAGGGCUACACACGUGCUACAAUGGCCGAUACAGAGGGCAGCUACCUGGUGACAGGGUGCAAAUCUCCAAAGUCGGUCUCAGUUCGGAUCGGAGUCUGCAACCCGACUCCGUGAAGUUGGAUUCGCUAGUAAUCGCGCAUCAGCCAUGGCGCGGUGAAUACGUUCCCGGGCCUU
rnacentral:rRNA from 1 species